CGGAGAGUGCAAACGUUGUUCGGAUUCACUGGGCGUAAAGGGCACGUAGGCGGCUCGGCAAAUCGGUCGUGGAAUCUCGACGCUUACCGUCGAAACGGCGGCCGAAAAUACCGGGCUCGAGGGCGUGAGGGGUCACUGGAACUCCUGGUGAAGCGGUGAAAUGCGUAGAUAUCAGGAGGAACGCCGGAGGCGAAAGCGAGUGACUGGCGCGUUCCUGACGCUGAGGUGCGAAAGCUAGGGGAGCAAACAGGAUUAGAUACCCUGGUAGUCCUAGCCGUAAACGAUGGACACUGAGUGAAGGAGGGCUUGCCCUUCUUUGCUGCAGCUAACGCGUUAAGUGUCCCGCCUGGGGAGUACGGCCGCAAGGCUA
rnacentral:rRNA from 1 species